ACAGGGACUCAAGAUGAAUAAUGGCCUUUUCCAGAGAACCAGCUUGGGCCACAACAUUUUUGGAGAAUCUGCCUGAACCAUCAGAGUCCUGAUAGAAGGUGGAAUGUUACUUUUCAGAGAAAUCUUGAUCUCUGCAUCCAUUUUGUAAACAGGUACAGCUAAUGAGGUUUCUGCAAGACCUACGCUUACUGUGAAAUGGAAUGCAGCUGUCACAUACACAUCAGCCUUCACAUAAUGCAUGCUUCUGAAAGGAUUAUUGAUAUUCCAGCUGAAUAUAUAUAAUUAUAGGCUUCUUUGUACUUAAGAUGCUCAUUUUCCUUUUUUCAUGCAGUUCUUUUCUAUAUUAAAAGGACUAGGACUGAGAACUGUAGCCCAGCAGGACUUAGAAAGUGACAAAUUAAACAAUGGUGAAUAAACUUAGUUAAAUAAA